rnacentral:lncRNA from 1 species
GGUAACUGGAUGCAUUUCUAAGCACAGUUUUUAGCUGCAUUUGAUAUUGGGUUCUUUGUCUUCCCUUUCUAGGUAAUUAGAGAACUCUUCCAGCCCUCCAAAUGAGGCAAACUGUGUGAGUAAUGAGCUACUUUGUCCUGUGUCAGAGUGCCUUCUCUCCAAGUGCUGUUUGCUGUCUGAAUUUCUGACCAUUGAACAAGAAGUGUCCAUUGUGCUUCUCAUUUUUCAUUAAUUUUGAAGCUAAUACGUGCAUCCAAACAGCUGUUUUCAUUGGCCUGAAGUACUAAGCUACCAAUAAAUUUUCCUCCUGGAUUUUUAACUCUUGCAGGCCUUUGGGAUUUGGUUAUUUCAAGAGUUCUUGUUUGGUUGGGUUUGCGGACUGUUUUUUUCCUCCAGAACUGGAGUUUUCCCAUUUAGCUGGAGCAGCAAAACUGAAUGGGAACGUCUGGCUUAUUUCAGAGCUCCAUCAGCACGGACCUCCCUCAUGACAGCCACAGUGAUGUCACGUCCAGCAGCACAGGAGGGGAUCAGAGCGUGCUCCUACCAAGUCAGCACAGCCCCCAGUUGUCUCCCAGAUUUACUGCCUCGAAGCUGUGCCGCCUUCUGAUCAAAAGUGGGUAGAUAAAUCUGCUCCGUGUUCUGCAGCCACUGCCUGCUGCCCUGAAGGAAGCGGGUCAUGUCUGUAAGGAAGCGUUUCAACCUGCAGCCGUGUAGGACAAACAGCAUCAAUCACUCCUUUCAAACAAAAGUUGGGUGAGUUUGGGUGGUCUCCCCUCUCACCAGGAGAGGAGCUGGUAGCCUUUGGCAUGAAAGCAGCCCUAGAACCUCAGCAGUCUCACAAUCAGUCAAGUUAGGGUCAAGAUUAAAUUACUCCAGGAAAAAGAAAAAAAAAACCUGCGCACAAAGUAAAAGUCCCCGCAGUCAGUUCUCAGCCUGUCUGACCUCUCUUAAAAGCACUGAGCAUGCUUUCAAGGAGCUGGCUUGAAGAAUGAAGCACUUCCGUGCUGUGAAUCAGAUAAGAGUUGUGCUGAUAAAAGAAAAAAAUUGCCACGACUGCUGACAGCCUAAGCAGCGAUAGGAGGAACCUCUGGGGCCUCUGUGCAGUGUACUGGCUUUGCUCUCUAGUCAGAUAUGAUUUGAAUAUCUUUAUUUGGGUUAAUACUGACAUACAGGACAGGAAGGGAAGCAAAGAUAUAGAAACCUGCUCAGCCUGACUGGCACACUAUUGAGGCACGGUGACUCCUUGCUGUCUCUCAAGUGAAGGGGAUUCAGUCUGUUUGAGAAACUUCCAAGAGUCCUCUUGUUUCAACCCUUGUAUCUAACACUUCUAUUGUUUCUAGCAAUAAAAGCAAAAUGCUCCUCUUCA